rnacentral:rRNA from 1 species
UAAUUGAAGAGUUUGAUCAUGGCUCAGAUUGAACGCUGGCGGCAGGCCUAACACAUGCAAGUCGAGCGGUAACAGGAGAAAGCUUGCUUUCUUGCUGACGAGCGGCGGACGGGUGAGUAAUGUAUGGGGAUCUGCCCGAUAGAGGGGGAUAACUACUGGAAACGGUGGCUAAUACCGCAUAAUGUCUACGGACCAAAGCAGGGGCUCUUCGGACCUUGCACUAUCGGAUGAACCCAUAUGGGAUUAGCUAGUAGGUGGGGUAAAGGCUCACCUAGGCGACGAUCUCUAGCUGGUCUGAGAGGAUGAUCAGCCACACUGGGACUGAGACACGGCCCAGACUCCUACGGGAGGCAGCAGUGGGGAAUAUUGCACAAUGGGCGCAAGCCUGAUGCAGCCAUGCCGCGUGUAUGAAGAAGGCCUUAGGGUUGUAAAGUACUUUCAGCGGGGAGGAAGGUGAUAAGGUUAAUACCCUU